rnacentral:lncRNA from 1 species
AGGCAACGCAGUUGCUCAGGUGCUUCGGUAUCACAGCCAAGACCCCUUCGGGGGAAGCUAGUCGGAUACUGGGACCCACAUUCCAGACUACUGAGCCGCGGUCGCGCCCUCGGCUCCGUUUCUGCUCCCUCCACCCCACGAGGACGGGGGUGGAAGGCCACCUUCGAUGGGUGCAUCCUCCACGAUGACCUGCUAACAAAGGUGCAUGGAUUUCAGAGUCUGAUUGGCCUACAACAGCAUUUGGCUUGUGGAGACAGUGGUUCCCUGAUGAAAAACUGCCAUGAUGGGAAUAGAAACAAUCAGAGGAAACUUCCGUGAGUUCCCAGGACACAUCCACCCACCUCCUCCACGUGUAACCACCACCUCUACCUUCCCCUCUGGUGCUGUGGAUGAGCCAUCCGUGCUCCUGGCAAAGGCCCACCUGCCACUUGGGCACAGGAACCCAUCCAUCCCUCCUUACCUCUGGUAACUCUCCCUCUCUCUCUCCUGCAUCCUUCAUAUUCUCUGGGUUGUAUUCUCUUCCAGCCCCCACCCCCUGCCCACCUCCAGCAUGUAAAAGUGCUGUUAUUGUUUCCACUUUAAAACAAACCCUAAAAAUAAGUAAAUAAAAUAAACCCUACCC